AGUGAACGCUGGCGGUAGGCCUAACACAUGCAAGUCGAACGGCAGCACAGUAAGAGCUUGCUCUUACGGGUGGCGAGUGGCGGACGGGUGAGGAAUACAUCGGAAUCUACUUUUUCGUGGGGGAUAACGUAGGGAAACUUACGCUAAUACCGCAUACGACCUACGGGUGAAAGCAGGGGAUCUUCGGACCUUGCGCGAUUGAAUGAGCCGAUGUCGGAUUAGCUAGUUGGCGGGGUAAAGGCCCACCAAGGCGACGAUCCGUAGCUGGUCUGAGAGGAUGAUCAGCCACACUGGAACUGAGACACGAUCCAGACUCCUACGGGAGGCAGCAGUGGGGAAUAUUGGACAAUGAGCGCAAGCCUGAUCCAGCCAUACCGCGUGGGUGAAGAAGGCCUUCGGGUUGUAAAGCCCUUUUGUUGGGAAAGAAAAGCAGCAGGUUAAUACCCCGCUGUUCUGACGGUACCCAAAGAAUAAGCACCGGCUAACUUCGUG
rnacentral:rRNA from 1 species